rnacentral:rRNA from 1 species
GCGGUGGAUGAUGUGGAUUAAUUCGAUGCAACGCGAAAACCUUACCUACCCUUGACAUGUCCGGAAUCCCGAAGAGAUUUGGGAGUGCUCGCAAGAGAACCGGAACACAGGUGCUGCAUGGCUGUCGUCAGCUCGUGUCGUGAGAUGUUGGGUUAAGUCCCGCAACGAGCGCAACCCUUGUCAUCAGUUGCCAUCAUUUGGUUGGGCACUCUAAUGAGACUGCCGGUGACAAACCGGAGGAAGGUGGGGAUGACGUCAAGUCCUCAUGGCCCUUAUGGGUAGGGCUUCACACGUCAUACAAUGGUCGGUACAGAGGGUUGCCAACCCGCGAGGGGGAGCUAAUCCCACAAAGCCGGUCGUAGUCCGGAUCGCAGUCUGCAACUCGACUGCGUGAAGUCGGAAUCGCUAGUAAUCGCGGAUCAGCAUGUCGCGGUGAAUACGUUCCCGGGUCUU